UGACAUAUUCAAACGUGAUUUAACGAGGCAAAAUUAAUUAAACUCCUAAAAGUAUGAUUUAUAAGAGAUUAAAAUAAAUCCUAAAUUAGGUUUGCCUAAGUGAUUUGCAUAAUACGUAAAGCACAUAAAUCCCUUCCCCCAAAACAGUCCCAUAAAUAUUAUUACAACAUAUCCUUUGUACAAUAAUCCUCACAGGCCAAUAUUAAAUGAAAUAAAAAAAAAAAAUACGAAGAGCUAGAUUGGAUAGCUCUUAACGACUACAUGCCAACUCUGUCUCGUCUAAAUACUUGUCCUUAACCUGUGAUAACAAAGAAAUAACCAAAACACAUUCCGAAUCUAGAAUACCUUUAGUGACACAUAACCAACCUUUGAUGCUGUCGAGAUCCUGGGGAUCCCAGGCAGGCUCAUGCCAAAGAAGCUAUGUGACGUGUAAAUAAUAUUUCAGAGUCACGUACAACAAGCAUGCUAAUGGAAAAGAACAUUUAGAAAAAGAAAAUAUGUCACAACUAAUAUGAAUACCCAAUAAGAGUCACGGAAAUACAAAAAAAAAAUAGGAGGUUCAUGUCGUCAAGCAUUUAAAGUAUGCAAAUCCAAGCAAAAAUCAAAACCACAUAGUAUAAAAGGAACUAAUGCAUCGUUGAAGAAAACUAACCGCUUUACAGCACAAUUACAAAAGAAGAUUGAACUUUCAAGAGUAGAUAAGAAGUCGUACGAGCAAACAAGAAUUAGCGAUCUCAAAGUAGAAGCAGCAAGCAAAAUUUAGCACUAAGUGUAGUGUAGAAUAGGGUAGAAGUCAGAGUACGAGUGUAAGAUAAGAGGUCUGACAAUUGAAAGAGAGGAUAUUUAUAUAGCAAAGGAGUAGAGAAAAUAAAAAGACAGAGAAUAUUUGCAAAUUCAAUCAAAUCAAUUAAAGAAAAAUAAACAGCUCCUAUUUACCUAAAUAAACAAGUCAGAAUAUUAUUUGAUCUUCAAGAGGCCAUCACUAGGUUUAGUGUAGAAGUGUAAGAUAAGAGGUCUGACAAUUGAAAGAGAGGAUAUUUAUAUAGCAAAAGUGUAGAGAAAAUAAAAGGAAAGAGAGUAUUUGCAAAUUCAAUCAAAUCAAUUAAAAAAACAUAAACAACUCCUAUUUACCUUAAUAAACAAGUCAGAAUAUUAUUUGAUCUUCAAGAGGCCAUAAAAAUAGGGAUACCAAUGGAUACUUCCCAUGUUAAGAAACGUAAUCACAUCAAAUUAGCACAGAAUAGAUCCAAUUAUAAUUGGGGGUAAACAUCUAUUUGUAUCAAAACUCCACAUGCUUAGCAAGCAAAAAUCACAAUACACCCAAAGAACUACUAUACUGUUGUAAUUGCGCUAGUAAUCCAAUUAACCGGUUCAAAUUUUCGGAGUCAAAAUUAUGACAGUAGACAAUGAAAUUGCAUUCCUAAAAUGAAAUCUAGGAUUAAUGAAAAAUUCAAAAUUUGUCAUUUUACAUAAAACAAACGUGAAACCAGAAAAACAGACCAACAAUAAAACCAUAAAUUUUAAGUUUAAAGAAAAGAGUAGCAGAAGAGAAUUAUAAUUGCAUGUAAAAAAUUAAAUACGAAAUCCAACCUAGGAUGGGUUCCUAAGAACCCAUCAUUUUUUCGAUGAGUUGUGGUGGCAGUGUCAUGGGAUGCACAGAGAGACAGCAAUGGUGGCUACAAUGAGAACGAAGGUUGGUUCAUGGGUAGCCGCUGGUUUGCAUGGCUGGUUUGAGGUGCCACGGCGACGGCUGGAGCUACGGAGCUCGGUUUUGAUGUCUUUUGAUACGAGCAGCGGCAAUGGUGAGAUCCGGCUAUCAUUAACAGUUCUUUACUGGUCAUCACCUACGAUGAAGCAGCAAUGAUGGGAGGCGACGCUGAUCGGAGGUGCAGUGGGACGUUCGGCUCACUGGUAAGCUGCCGUUAUUUAUUUCAGCGAUGGAGAUGUACCGGAUCUGGGCGACGAUGGCGCUGGGCCUUCACCAGUGGCGGCUAGUGUUAUUGCCUGUUCAACAAUGCUUAACCGUCAGAGAGAAUAAUAGAGGAGAGGGGGUUCGAGCUGUGGGCGGUCACCGGUGGCGGCUGGUGAGUUCUAGAGAGAAGGAGGAGCGAUAGAGAGAGAAAGUGGAGGUGGUGUUCGGUUAAUUUGGUGGAAUGAAUCUAGGGUUAGGGUUUUGAUUUUUUAAAAGAAAAGAAAGAGAUCCUUUGAUCUCAUUGGAUCAGUUUUGAUCGACAACUAGAUUUAGAGGUUGAGGAAUUGGUCAAAAUUUAAAAAUAAUUUAAAAUUAAGUCUUAAAUUGGCUAUAAUUAUAAUAAAUUGGCUGAAAUUGUAGUGUCUUGGGUAAAAAAAAUGGACUAAAAUAUAAAUAAAUUAUGCAAAUUAAUUUAAAUUUAGAUUGUUAUUUAAAUAAUAGUAGGGAUAAUAAUAGUAAAUAAUAUAUAUAAAAAAAAUAAAUAAUACUAAUACAAAUAAUAAUAAUAAUAAUAAUAAAUGUUAUAAAAAAUGAUGUAUUUGAAAAUUGAGAGUAUGCUUAUUUAUGAAAAGAACUAUAAAAAAUUAUGUCGAGAGAUAUUAUAUUUAAAUUAAUGAAUGAUGCUGUAAGGUGGUAAAAUAAUUUAUAUAUUUUAAAAUCGUAAAUGGCCACGUCAAAAUCUUUUUAAUGCAAGAAAACUGUGUAAAAAUAUCAACAUUUAAAAAUGGUAAUUUUUGCUAAAACAACUGCCUAAAAUGGGCAUCGGGAGGUACAAAAUUAGGUAUCAACAAUCCUUCAAUUCUCUCGAGUUUAAAGAAUGCGUUAAUUUAUUCAAUUAUUCUCUCAUGUGGGUUGAUUCCGUUAAGGCAUCAACCCUUAACCCAAAGGUUAAAGCCCUUAGAUCCCUUAUAAACCUUUUCUUUUCCCAACAAACACUUUUCUAUUCAAUUAAGUGAGGUUCUUGGUCUCAUCCUUCAAGUAUGCAACCAAAAAAAGUCUAUUGUGAAGAAGGGUUUAUACAACUUAAGUUAACCAUGGAAAUCAAGUGAUUUCACAACCCCAAUCAGCUUUUCACAUCAAGGCUCCCAUAGCCCUAGUUAUAGGAGCUUAGUCACACAUCUCCAUAGAAGAAGAAGAAGAAGAAGAAGUCAUUAUGUUUCUCAUAAAUAAAUUUAGGAAUUACUUACAAAAAUCACAAGAUUUAAAAAAUAGGCAUAAAAUAAUUAGAUCCACAAUUCUAGGUUGAUUCUUAGAGAAUACUAUGUUACAAUAAUGUUCAAAGUUUGAAAUAUGGUCCAGAAUCCCUAAAUUUAAACCUAAACUGGGUAUUUUAUAUGUUCCCAAGUGUAGAAUAUUUUAAAUCUAAACUAAAAAAAAAUUGCAUCCAAGUUAGCGGUCAGGACGAUGGCCCGUCGGAAGCUUGACGGCCCGUCGAAUGAACCAUCGCAAUCGGUCCCAAAAUGGCAUCUUCUAUUAAGGGUCGACGGUUAGGUUGGUGGACCGUUGCUGGCCCGGUGGUCCGUCGCAGGAGCCAUCACCUGACCUGCUAAAAGUUCACGUUCUAUUUCAGCCUGACGGACAGUUUGGCGGCCCGUCGGGUGUUCGACGUUCCGCCACUUGGACUGUCGCAAAGAUCAUUCUUUUGUUUCUCUCUGUUUUACUCUGACGACCACCCUGGUGGUCCGUUACAUGGAUGACAGUUCGCCAGUUGGACUGUCAGUGCUCUUUUCCUGCUAUUUUUUUAAGUUUUUCCUCCUUCUAACUCUUUGAAUUGAAAACACUAAAAUUCAGUAUUAAAUACAACAUUUGUUGCUUGAAAACAUACAAUUAUCCCAUAAAAAAGAUGUAAAAUAUUUCAUUAAAAGACAAAACAUCAACACCCUCAAUGUAAGACAAUUGUUUGUCCUCAAGCAACUCAGCACCAAUUUGCAUAUAUGAACAAUACAAUGACAGACAAUAAACUAUUUAACUGGAUUUAACACAACCAUUCAUUUGCCAUCCCACUCUUAUGGGCUCAUCACAUCAGGAUCUAUAAUCGGCAUUGCUUCAAUACUUAGCACACACACAAAAUCAUGGAUAUCAUAUCCUACAGAGACCAGCAAAACUAAGUGUAACUCAAGUUACCCUCACAGCGAAUAAAUUCCACCACUCAUUGUAUCUUAUGGACACAAUCAAGACUCUCACACUCAACAAAGAAGUUACAAGCAUAACAUAUAUACCCAUAGGCUUGCCCUUAUCAUAUAUUUCUUCCUUAUGGUUGAUUCGCAAGGAUCAAGAAGGUCUUUUUCAGGCUUGUAAUGAGGCUCAGGGGUUAGGUGAUGACAAAUUUUUGUGAAAAGUGACUCAAAUUUCAGACUUAACUCUCUUUACCCUUGAAUUCUACUCACCAAGGCUACUGUUUUACCAGCUCACCUAUAAUCCAUAUUAUUCACUCACACUUUACCAUAUUUUCCCCUUUUUUCUCCUCUUUUAUAUAUAUAUAUAUAUAUAUAUAUAUAUAUAUAUAUAUAGAGAGAGAGAGAGAGAGAGAGAGAGAGAUUAAGCAUCAGCCACCCUCAACUUAUGCUAAUGCAGUUAUUUAAGGUGCACAAUACCUUGAAUAGAUCAGGGCCAAAUGUUUUAAACUAAUACUAAACCAACUUUUCGUUAGCCGGCUAACAUCUUGACAAUAGCCACCCUCAACUUAGGGGUUUUGCCUAAGUUAAGGUGCACAAUGUCUAAUAUUGGACCAGGGCCAGAGUUAGGUGUUAACAACCUAAAGAGGGUUAAUUAGAGUUAUUGGUGAUGAUGAAAACUAAUACAAGCUCAAAAAGGGUUCAAAAAUGGAAAAAAAAAAUUGGUGGGGUUAAAUUAUUUUGGCUAAAUGGAUUAAAUGUACAAGGAGGCCUGCUAUCCUAUCCUAUUGAAUCAACCACAAGACAACAUCAAUGAAUUGGGCAAGUUCUAGGUAUUACACUUAUGCAAUAACUAAUACAAAUAUUUGCACACACAGGCAAUUGAGUCAAACUCAUUCUACUGCUCUUAGGAUUUCUAUCACAUGAUUGUGCAUAUCUUACAUAUUAAUGCCAAUUACCUAAUCACUAAAGGUUACUCACAUAUGCUAAAUGACAAGAGUAAAUAAUCGUACAAACAUAUUCAUAGUCUUAUGCCAGUAUCAUUCAUCAUUCAUAUACACAACAAGAUGCUAAAAUAACAGACACUUUACUUUAUAAAUAAACAUUAACAAAUAGAUAUUUACAUCAUAACCUAAGAAAAGAAAAUGCAAUCCUAGACAUACAAGUUCUGCUAGAUAGAACAUGGGAGAAAAAAAACAUCGGCAACAAAAAAACCUACAUAAAAUAAAUGUGUUCUCCUUAAUGCAUAAAAUUAAAGUACAAAGAAUGGGAAAUACUUGUAAAGCCUCUUAUUUAGAUGAGGCAUCAGUGAAGUGUGGUGAGGCUCCAGUGGCCUCACCUGCAGCAAUGUUGACCCCUAUGGUGGUAGGGGAACUUACAAUCUCUUUCUCCAGAACUGGAGGUAUCGCAUCCCGAGCUGGGUCUGAACUAGGCCCCCUUGCUGGGGCAGAACUGGUAGAUACUCCAGCAGCUUCAUCUUCUGCCUUCUUUCUUCUUCUUUCUUCAUCUCUCCUUAACCCUUUCGCAGCUUUUCUUAUAUCAUAAUCUUCCUUCUCUUCCAGUGUCAUUGUCUCUCUUCUUCUUCUUCGGGAAGCUUUACUGUUCGUGUUUUUGCCUGCACUUUCAUCCACCUUCUUUUCUUUAUCUUUAAAUGGCUUUCUCAUCAAGUCGCUAAUACCUUCAUCAUCAUCGCUUAUCACCAAAGUGGGAUUAAAGACCGAAUAUUGUGACUGUUUGUUCUUUAACUUUACUAUGUCCGCCUGUUCUUGUUUAAAUUCUUCCAUAAACUUUGCAAAAUCUGGAAUGGAUAUCGCAUCCAGCCUUUUGUUGAUUCUCUAUUCCAUGUGAUCCAUUAAAGCUGAAUGUGUUGAAAUGGAUGGGUUACUUCAGCCACAAUUUGAUCAACAAACGGCUUAAAUUUUAAAGCCCAUGUGUCUAGCUAUUUCUUAAACUUCUUUUGCAGCUUAACCGACUUGGUAAAAUUUUCCUGCAUUAACCUGUACUCCGAAUAAUCUGUCCCACCCAUUGGUGGCAUAGACUCCAAUCCUACAGAUAUACUAGAUGGUACAUAAGUAGUGAUAGGUAAUGGAAUACCUGUUGGAAUGUCGAAAGUAUCGGGGGCUAGCGCUGACUGCGUUUGAUAGGCUGGAGGUUUAGUGAAUUAUAUCUCAAACUUUGAGUCAUCCUUUGAUUUCUUAAUUUCUUGCCUAUAUGUAGCCCGAACUGUAUUAUCAACUCCUCGAAUUAGUGGCACAUUAGCCUGUCUGCAUAGCUCCAUGAUAAAACACGGGAAUGGUAGUGCACUUUCCACCCUGUGUGCCCUCACGAACAUCUCAUCAGCAAUGAUUUAGACAAAAUUAAUCUUCAUCCCUGCAAUCAAACUAGCCACCAGUAUAUCCCUGUGGCUAUCCAAAUUAGCAUCCCCACCUGUUGGCAUCAAUCUUAACCAAAUAAUGGCCCACCAGAACUUAGCUUGGAAGCUAAGGGAGGACUUAGCAAUGCGCUCUCAAGGGUUUGCUGUCCAGGCGGGGUUGCAAUCAUCAGUCAGUAACCCAUACAACCACAGCUUCUGAGUCGAUACUGAAGUCAGACAAAACUCAAGAUUAGGAACAGCAGUCGGUGCCUCAUAGUCGUGUCCAAAUAUCAUUUUGUUGAUUGUUCUAACCGAUAUAUCAAUGUUAACCCCUCUUACUGGUACUGACUCUCUGUUUGAUAAGUCUGAAAUCUUCGUGCCCUUAGGAUAAUCUUUUUCUACCAAUGCCAAGUAAUUAGAAAUGAACUCUCUUACCAUAUUUGGUUGAUAAGAACCAAGAGGUUUGCUUAUCUAGGUCAACUCAUACUCAUUGAAAUGCCGCUCCAGUUCUGGAUAUUCGUGCAACUCACUUGUCACAAUCUGGUACUCCUCAGAGAUUGGCCUUUUGAUUGGCCUACUCGCUGUCGGUUCCAAUCCAUCAAGGAACUUAUCUUUUGACCUCUCAAUUUCCACCUGAGUGCCUCCCUCAUUUAAGGUUCUUUGAUCUUAACCACAGUUUCCUUCUCGAUUUCUGUCUCAGCAUUGCCAGUUUUUGCCUCUGCGGGGUUGGGGUUAGAUAUGUUAACCCCUUCCUCGUCUGGGCUCUAACUAGUACUACUAGUGCUGAUCUCACUCUCUUCUUCAAAUUGGGAGAGUGUGGAGAUUUCCCUAUCUUGUUGUUUGGUGUUGAAGGCAAGAUCUUCUUCACUCCUGGACGACUCACCUCUUCCUUGUGCUCUACCACCACCUCUAGUCAAAAGAAGUUUAAGUGCCAUAAUGCCUGAAAAAGGAACAAGGCAUCAGUUUGCAGGUCAAAAUAGAUCGAAAAUAGUGAACAUAUGACUUGACGGUUACUCAGACAGCCCAUCGAUGAUGCGAUGGUCCGCCGGACUGGCCAUCAAGAAUUAACCAGUAUGUUCUGAUUUUUCAGAGCCUUGUGACGGUCGAACUGGUGGUCCGUCAAGUUAUUGACGGUCUGUCAAGUUGUUCGUCGCACCUUUCCAGUGAACAUCAAUAUUAGCAUCCAUGUGACAGUCUACUCGGUGGUGCAUCACAGGAGCGACGGUCCACCAAGGUGACCGUCAGAAACCCUUUUCAGUUCAAGACUUCACUUUGGCAUUUUUUCGAACACCUGGUAUGCAUUCUUACAUUCUUGACGCAAUCAAUGGCAUGAACUUGGUGUUUAAGCACAAUUUUUCUUCCACUUUCAAUACAUGGGUUACUCAGACUUCACCCAGCGCAAUGCAUACCAUGGGUUUGAUUUUUAGAUUACAAUCAGAACAAAAUAAGAAGAAGAUAAAAUUUUCCUCCCACAGACAAUAAUUCACUUACUUAAUGUUGAACAAUUUAAAUAACAAAGACAAAGGUUGUGAUCAUACCUUGAUGGUACAAUAACUUCACUCUACUUACUUGCAACUUCAGAAAAUAAAUAAAAAGUUAAGGCCUUUGUUAGUGAUUGAUACUUUUGUUGUUAUGAGAAGAAGGGGGGAAGGUCCUGUUUAAAUAGGAAAGAAAAAUAAUAGGGAGAGUCCUAAAGGGGAAUAACUGACUCUAGAUACUUUGAACACAAAGGAAGUUAAGCAGUUCUAGGAUUUGAAAAGGUAGCAACGUAUGUAACCACCUCUUCUUUUCAGUUUAAAGACAUUUGGGUUGGUUUCAUGCAAUUUAAAUAGUAUUUAAAAUCAUCCCGACCCAACCCGUGCUUAGGGUUGCAUUGACGAUCUACUUGACAGUCCGUAAGGUGUUCGACGGUCCGUCUGGUUGGCCAUCGAAGCUUACCAGAAUCUAGUAACUUAUACCUUGCUGCAAUGGCUUAUGCGAUGGUCCGUCAACCUACCCGUCAGUCUGUUCUAAUGACCUCGAGUUUCCAUCUCUGUUUGACGGAGGGAGUGAUGGUCCGUUGGGCUAGCGAAGGUCCACCGGCUUGGCCAUCAAGCCUUAUCCAGAAUGAUCAUUUUUUAUCAUGGCUUUGACGGUCUUAAUGAUGGUCCAUCGGGACCUUGACAGUCAGUCGGUCUUCCCGUCAACCCCUUUUCAACUAUAGAACUCCUUUCUUUCUGCAUUUUCAAUCCUGCAAACUUCACAAAUACAUCAAAUUGCACAAGAACAACAAAUAAAUUCUAACAAUGAUUACAACAACACUUUAUGGGUUACCUCCUACUAGCGCCUCAUUUAAUUCCACGGCAUGACUCAGUUAUCUCGAUUACUCAGACUUCAUCGAGAUAGAUGGUAGCUAUACACCUUAUCGAGUCCAUUGGACCGAUAUACAACUUCACUCAUUGCCCGUUAACUUUGAAGACACUUCCGUCCUUAUUUUCAAGUUCAACUACUCCAGAUGAGUAGACUUGGUUAACUUUGAAUGGACCAGACCAUUUUGAUUUAAGUUUACCUCAAAACAGCUUCAAUCUAGAGUUGAAGAGUAGUACCCAAUCACCUUUAUGAAAGUCUCGCUUUGCAAUCCUCCGGUCAUGGUACCUCUUCAUCUUCUCCUUGUAUAGGUUUGCUCUUUCAUAUGCUCCAAGAUGAAACUCAUCCAUCUCAUUUAGAUGACCCAAUCUCAACUUUGUUACCUCAUUCCAGUUCAAGUUCAGCUUCCUAAGUGCCCACAGCGCCUUAUGCUCUAAUUUAAUCGGCAAAUGGCAUGCCUUGCCAUAAACCAAUUGGUACGAUGACAUGCUGAUAGGUGUAUUGAAAGUUGUUCUAUCUGCCCACAAGGCAUCAUCAAGCUUCCUAGACCAAUCUUGUCUACUUGCAUUCACCGUUUGACCAAGAAUGGCUUUGAUCUCUCUAUUUGAAAUCUCUACUUUCCCUCUAGUUUGUGGGAGGUAUGGAGUUUCCACCUUAUGCUACUUAACACCGUACAUCGCCAAGGCAGGCCUAAAUACUCGAUUACAAAAAUAUGAUCCCCCGUUGCUUAUGAUGGUUGUGGCACCCCAAAACGAGAGAAUAUAUUCCUUUUAAGGAAUGCAACAACUAUUUUUCCUUCAUUAUCGGCCAAGGCAACAGCCUCAACCCAUUUAGAUACAUAAUCAAAGGCAACCAGAAUAUAUUUCAUCCCAUAUGAGCUCACGAAGGGUCCCAUGAAGUCGAUGCUCUAGAUGUCAAACAACUCCACUUCCAUCCUUUUUGUCAAAGGCAUAUCAUGGUGCUUUGAGAUUGACCCUUGUCUUUGGCAUUGGUCAUAUCUCCGAACGAACUCAUGAGCAUCUUUGAAUAAAGUCGGCCAAUAGUAACCACUUUGCAAUACUUUCCUAGCAGUUUGGUCACCUACAAAGUGACCCCCAAUCGGAGAAGCAUGACAAGCUUCCAAAAUAUUCAGCAUGUCCACUUCUUGGAUACACUUCUUUAUAAUAUUAUCUGCACAAUGCUGAAAUAAUACGGCUCAUCCCAGAAGUAGUGUGUAAUAUCGUGAAGAAAUAUUUUUUUUUGGUAAAAAAAAUAUUCUCUGGAAUAUCUCCCUCACCACAUAGUUUGCAAAGUCUGCAUACCACAACACUGUCUCUAACACAGCAACCAAGAUUUACUCGUAUGGAAAUGCAUCAUCAAUUUAUAGCUCAUCCUUGGGUGCUUAACCUCCCUCCUGUCUGGACAAGUGGUCUGCGACUUGAUUCUCGCAUCCCUUCCUAUCUUUGACUUCAAAGUCAAAUUCUUGGAGAAGCAAUACCCAUCUGAUUAAUCUCGGCGUAGCAUCAUUUGGCCAUCAAAUAUCUCAAGGCGGCGUGGUCUGUGUGAACCACCACCUUGAUUGCCAAUAGGUAAGCCCAGAACUUCUCAAAGGCAUAGACAACUGCAAGGAGUUCCUAUUCGGUAACAAUGUAGUUCUUUUGAGCUCCAUUUAAGGCCUUGCUUGCAUAAUAAAUGGGAUGAAACAACUUAUCCAUAUUUUGGCCAAGUACAACCCCAAGCGCCACUCCGCUUGCAUCGCACAUAAUCUCAAAUGGAUUUGACCAAUCUGGAGCAAUGAUAAUAGGAGCAUCAACCAAUUUCCCUUUAAGGCAUUUAAAUGCCUUCAAGAAUUUGCCAUAAAAUAUAAACUUGGCCUCCUUCUACAAAACUUUGAAAUGUAGGUUUGAAAUUUUUGAGAAGUCUUUUAUGAAUUGCCGAUAGAAAACCGCAUGACCAAGAAAACUACUCACUCUCUUUACUGAAAUAGGAGGUAGUAGCUUCUCAAUAACCUCGACCUUAGCUCGGUCGACUUCAAUCCCCUUGGCAGAAAUUUUGUGACCAAGGACAAUACCCUCUUUCACCAUGAAGUGGCAUUUCUCCCAAUUAAGCACUAGAUUAAACUACCCGUACCGCUGCAAAGCUCUACUCAGAUUCACCAAACAAAGCUCAAAAGAAUCACCUACUACUGAGAAGUCAUCCAUAAACACCUCCAAGGUGUCUUCAACCAUAUCAGAAAAGAUAGAUAUUAUGCACCGUUGAAAGGUAGCGGGUGCAUUACACAAACCAAACGGCAUCCGUUUAAAAAAAAAAUACCAUACGGGCAAGUAAAGGUCAUCUUCUCCUGAUCCUCUAGGCUACAGAGAUCUGGUUAUAGCCCGAAUAUCCAUCCAAGAAAUAAUACCAACCUCUUCCCACAAACUGGUCAAGUAUUUGGUCCAUAAAAGAUAUUAGAAAGUGGUCCUUUAAAGUCCAUGAGUUGAGCUUACGAUAGUCCAUGCAAACUCUCUACCCAGUCACAGGUCUAAGAAGGAUCAACUCAUUUUUCUCGUUCGCUACCACAGUCAUGCCCCCCAAACUUGGAAACGCAUUUGACAAGACUUACCCAUUUACUAUCAGAAAUGAGGUAUACAACUUCUACAUCAAGCCAUUUGAUGAUUUCCUUCUUAACCACCUCUUGCAUAGGUGGGUUAAUAUGGCAUUGAUGCUUAAUGGUAGGAGUGCAAUCUUCCUCAAGCUGAAUUUUAUGCAAGCAAAUACCUGGAAGAAUGCUAAUAAUAUCCAUAAUAGUCCAUCCUAUCACCCUUUUGUACCUCUAGAGCACUGAGAUAAGUGCCUCUACUUGUUGUUCCCCCAUAUCUUCUGCAAUAAUCACAGGUAAAGUGUUUCCAUUGCCUAUAAACACAUAUCGUAGAUGGCCUAACAAUUCUUUCAACUCCAACACUGGUGGCUCUUCAAUAGAUGGCUUUGCCGGUAGUGUUGGGUGAUUUUUAAGAUCUAGAUCCAGCUUCUUAGAAGCAUAAGAGUAUGACCCCAUUCUAGUCAAGGCACACACAGUCUCCCCAUACUCUUUAAUGCCUUUGCUAUCGAAAUUCAUCAAGACUGUAGCCAAAGGCUCAACAGUAAAUUUAUCCUCUAUUGUCACUUCUUGAUCAUCCUCAUGAUAAACAUCAACAAUAGAUAACAUACUCAUUUCCUUAUGCUGCUUCAUAGAUUGAUACACAUCAAGCUGAACUACUUCAUUACUAAGCCUGAAUAAGAGCUCAUUAGCUCACAAGUCAAUAAGUACGCUUCCAGUUGGAAGAAAAGGUCGACCAAGAUUAUGGACACCUCUAAGUCCACCUCACAAUCCAGAAUAACAAAAUCUGCAGAGAAUAUAAAGUUGGCCACAUUCACUAGCAUAUCAUAUAAAAUACCCACUGGCCACUUUAUCGACCUGUCCACCAUCACUAGUCGCAUGUUUGUGGGUAUAAGAUCCCCCAAACCUAACUUUUUAUAAACAGCAAGCAGUAUCAGGUUAAUACUCGCUCCUAGAUUAUACAAGGCCUUAGCAAAAUCAAGAGACCCAAUAGUACAAGGAAUAGUGAAUGCUCCUGGGUUUGCUUUUUUUUGCACCAAAGACCUUAUUGAAAUAGCGCCACAGUGGUAAAGGUUUUCCACCGGUUCAUAGAUCACUUUUCUCUUCUUUAUCACUAAGUCUUUCAUAAACAUAGCAUACCUAGGCAUCUACUCUAAUGCCUCCACUAAAGGCACAUUCACUGUCAGCUGCUUCAGUAUCGCCAUGAAUUUACUAAACCUUGUAUCAUCAGCUUUCUUCUUCAAUCUAUAAGGAAAGGGAGGCGGUGGUUUUGGGAAAAUGGUAACCACUGCUUUCUUCUUCUUUUCUUUUUCUUCCUCUAACUCAUCAACCUACUGAUGGUUAGAUGUGCUCGCAUUACCAUCCAUCUUUUCAGACUCCACUAGAUGGGUUUCAUCAACUUCUACCUCUCCAUCGAUCAUAUCAUUGAUCACAGCCUUGCCUACAGAAGGGCCAGGUAAUAUUUUACCACUCCGAGUGGUAACUUCCAUGUAAGAGCUAUCGUUAUGAGGGUUCUACACUGUAUCGCAAGGCAAGGCACCAAUUUUUCUCUGAUUAAAUAAUGUCGAGAGUUAGAUCAUCUGCUGCUCCAACUACUUAAUAUAAGUUGAGUGCAAAUUUACUAGCUGGCUCAUAAAAGAUAAGUCACUCUUCAUCAUCUUCACUCUAGCAUUGGUAGCCUCAACUCCCUUUAAUAGUUUCUCCAACAUAUCCUCCAUGGAUAUCUUGCCUGAACUGGUAGCUGCAUUGUCCCGGUUUCCAAAAAGUACAUACAGUCCACACUUGUUAUUUUGGUUCUUCCAACUCCUUUGGUCCCUAUCUUUGUAACCAGCCUUAUUGUUAUAGUUUCGACCUUGAUUCCCUUGGAUAUUGCCUUACGAACCCCCUGAUUAUUUAGAUAGUUCACCUCCUCCUUAGAAUCAAGAUCAACUCUGCCUUGCGACCCAAUAACUUUUACCUUCUCAGUCUUCCCAGAUAAUAAGUAUUUAGUAAGCAGAUCUAUCUGUGUUUUCAUGUGUACCAUACCUUGGUCACACUCCUCAUAUUUCUGAAAUUGUUCCACUGACAUACCAUAAGACAUAGUAGGGCUUGCUACCACAGAAUCCCUGGUGUGCCAAGAUCUACUUAUCUUAGUCAACCGCUCCAAUAUAUCUGCAGCCUCAUUGAAUGUAAGCUCCAUGAAUACUCCUCUUGCUGUAUUGUCAACUGUUGGUUUAGUUAUAAAGUUCAGGGCUCUAUAGAAAGUCACCAUUAAAUGCUUGUCAGUCAUCUUGUUGUUGCGGCACUAUGUCAACUUUUUCUUGAAUCGCAUCCAAGUCUAAUGUAGUGCCUCAUUUGGUAAUUGUCUGAAGUUGCUGAUUUUAUCCCUCAACUGUAACAUCCUGGAGGGUGGAAAGAACCUUUCUAGGAAAUCUCCUUUCAAUUGCCUCCAAUUUUUAUAGAAUCAUGGGAAAACUCAUUCAACCACAUUGUUGCCUCCCCAGACAGAGACAGCGGAAACAAUCGAAGAUGAAUUACAUUUUGACCAACACCAAGGGUAUCAAAGGAUUUGCAAAUAUUGAUAAAAUUCACCAAGUGCAAGUUUGGUCAUCCCCUGGAAUUACUACAAACAACCCCUUAAGAUUAAGUAGUUGUAUCAUGGUGCUGGUUAUGUUGAACUUAACCCCAAGUAUCAGUGGAGGUGGAAUAAUCUUUUCUAUAGCACCAGCUUUAUCCAAGUCGUCCUUCUCCUCAUCAAGAUCAAAUUGCACAGCAUGUUGGUGGUUUGAUCUCCCUCAAGCUGCCCGGCUUCUAUUGGCAACCACCUCUACAUUCUCUGUACGCCUCCUAUUUGCUGGGUUAAUCAGAUCAUCAUCUCCUCAAUCUUUAUUAUCAGGAUUAUGGUCAUGAGCUGGUUAUCCAUUAUUUUGCAGAUUAACCUGUGCUCUAGCCAAGUUGGCUAGUCUCUCAGCUUCUUGUUAUUCUUCUAUUCUACCAAUUAGAUGCGGUUCAGGAUUGAAGAGUAAUAGCGGUUCUCCCAAACUUCUGGCACGCGGCAUAAUCAACAAUGAACCUGUAAUGAACCAAAAAAUACAAAUAAAAGUAAAAUUUAUGAAACUUGACCAAUGGUCAAUUAACAAUCACAAACUUAAUUGACAGUCGUAAUCCCCGGCAACAACGCCAAAAUUUGAUAGGCCCAAAUUACAGCUCUCUUACAAGAGAGUAAGCAAUCAUUGUUAAAAAUAUAACCCAACUAGGUCGGGGUCUAAUCUCAUAGGGAAUACUAUGUUCACUAAGUAUUGUGGUUAUUACUAGACUGUUGAUUAAAGGUUCCAAAUUAAAGAGGGUUUUGGUUUGUAAGUUUUAUCUUGUUAUUUGUAACAGAAAGUGUUUCUAUUAGUGAUUCUUAUUGCAAAUAUUAAUUCAAUGAGAGUAUACAACUAGAGUUACGGUUACCAAGAUGUACAGGCAUCUAGGGUUGUGAAUUAUUAUGAAUCUCUACUUAAUCACUUCAAUUGCAAGAGUUAUUGAAUCCUAUAAUCUACCUAUUUGUCUCUUAACCUAAAUGAUUAGAUUAUCGUUCAAUUCUCUUGAGCUUAAAGAAUGCAUUAAUUUUUCAAUUAUUCUCUCAUGUGGGUUGAUCCCGUUAAGGCAUCAACCCUUAACCCAAAGUUAAAUCCCUUAGAUCCCUUGUAAACCUAUUCUUUUCCUAACAAGCACUUUUCUAUUCAAACAAGUGAUGUUCUUGGGCUCACCCUUCAAGUUUGCAACCAAGAAAGGUCAUUAUUAUGAAGAAAGGUUUAUACAACUUCAGUUAACCAUGGAAAUCAAGUGUUUUCAGAACCCCAAUCAGCUUUUCACAUUAAGGCUCUCAUAACCCUAGUUAUGGAAGCUUAGCCACACAUCUCUAUAGAAGAAGAAGAAGAAGAAGAAGAAGAAGAAGAGUCAUUAUGUUUCUCAUAAAUAAAUUUAGGAAUUACUUACAAAAAUUACAUGAUUUGUUCUCAAAUCUUCAAAAGAAAAUAGGCAUAAAAUGAUUAGAUCCACAAUUCUAUCUUGAUUCUCAGAGAAUACUAUGUUACAAUUAUGUUCAAAGUCGGAAAUAUGGUCUAGAAUCCCUAAAUUAAACCUAAAUUGGGUAUUUUAUAUGUUCCCAGGUGUAGAGUAUAAAAAAUUUAAACUCAGAAAAAGCCGCGUCCAAGUUGACGGUCAGGACAAUGGCUCCUCGAAAGCUUGACGGUCCGUUGAAUGGACCGUCAUGAUCGGUACCAAAAUGGCAUCUUCUAUUAAGGGUCAACAAUUAGGUUGGUGGACCUUCACUAGCCUGGUGGUCUAUCACAUAAGCCGUCACUAGAUCAUCUGAAAGAUCAUAUUUUGUUUUAACCCGACGGCUAAUUUGGCGGCCCGUCGGAUGUUCGAUGGUCCACUACUUGGACCGUUGCAGAGAUCAGUCUUUUGGUCCUCUCUAUUUUACUCUGAUAACAACCCUGGCAGUCCGUCGCAUGGCUGACGAUCCGCCAAUUGGACCGUCAGUGCCCUUUUCCUGCUUUUUCCCAAGUUUUUCCUCUUGCUAACUCUUUGACCUAAAAACACUAAAAUCAAGUAUUAAAUACAUCUGGUGCUUUAAAACAUACAAUUAUCCCAUGAAAAAGAUGUAAAAUGUUCCGUCAAAAUCCGAAACAUCAAGGUUCCAUUAUUAUAUUCACUUGGGUGAUUCUCGUGAACCCACAAGGUUUUAAAUCAAAGCCAUAGCCACUAAGGCCUUGCCAUUUAUCCAUUAAAACCAUUUUAAAAUUUAGGUUCCAUUACCAUGUUAUACCAUGCAAUGUUUUCAAUAAAAGUUCAACUAUGUAUUUAAAGCAUUCUCAUAGGCAUUUUAAUAUACACGUUGAGGGCAUAUAGUUUCCAAAAUAAAAACCAAGUACCAAUUGACCAUUCCCAUGAAGCCACAUGUUCAAACCACAAUUAUAAUAUGAAAACCAUAAGUAAAAACAUUGAAAAACAUAAAUCAACCAUUAAUAACCAAAACCCCAACAUAUAAUUAAAAACCAAAUAAUACCCAUAAUUAAAUCAUGAAAACCAUUCAUUAAAACAUGAAUUUAGUUGAACUAAUAAUGAGGGAGGAGUAAAAUGCCUUAGAUACCAAAGAAGAUGGAGCGAAAUCACCCUUGAAAGCCCCAAUUGAUAUGCUUGAUGAAAACCCUAAGUGUUCUUGACCUUGAGGAUUUGAGAGUAUUUGGGAGUCUAUUUGAUGUGUUUUUGAUAGUUCGUGAUGCCCUAAAAAGGUUAUAAGAUAUGGGUUUUAAGUUGGUCAAAAGUGGAAAUAUCGAGAAUAUCGUCAACUUAAAAGUUAAAAAAUGCACGUAGGAGUGUUUGACUCCCCCUAACUCAUACACAAUCAUACGAGUGGUACACACUAGACAUACCCUAGACAGAAUGUUGGACUUCAACACUAUCCAAUGUAUGACCCCCAAGGAUCAACUCAUACUAAAUCAUACAAUAAGUACCCAUAACCCGUACCCUAAGCAGAAUACUCUAGGCUAGACAUAUUGAGCAACAUAUGAGUGGCUUACCUAAUUCGUACCAUCUCCAUAUGAGUCUUAUGAUUCCCUUUCAUAACUUAGAAAAAAUGGACACCAGAGCAUACUAAUUAUUAUAUGAGUUAAGGACCCUAAACCAUACAACAUCAUACAACAAGUACCCACAAGUGGUAUGAUGUCCAAAAGCUCAAACUCAAGAAAUUUUUUAGGGAUCAAAACCCAGGGUAUUUUAGAUUACUGGAUAUUAUAUUUGAAGAAGGUGAAGAUGUUGAGUACUAAUGACAAGAUAAUGCACUACAAAUGGCUGGUGUGUCAUAUUACAAAAGCUACAAAAGUAGCAGAAUGGGGAAAAAGGAUAGCCAUUUACAAACAUACAUUGAGUUUCACUACUAAGGCUUGGUGGUCCAUUGUUCAUUACCACAUAGUACCCAUAAAAGAUGAUAAGGCACUGAGUGCUAACAAUAAAGGGAUGGACAAGUGUAAUACCCCAAACUUUUCCUUAAGCCUAAUUUCAUCUCUAGAAGGUUAAGAAAUGACUUCCUAAGUGAGUAACAUUUCAACCAUAUAGAUUUUCCCUAAUUUUGACUUUUUAUCAUGUGAGAAAUUUAAUUAGCUUUCCAAUGAUAUAAGAUCCACCCAAAUCCAAUGACCGGGCAAGAAGUUAUGGCUAAUUUAAGUUCUAGUCAUAAGACACCAUCAUUUUAGUGUUUGGCGCGUCAUGUAGAGGGUCUAUUUAACAAUUUUCAAAUACCAGUGGAACUUUACGAUAGUGGCACGUCGCGGAGGACCCUAAUUUCCCAAUAGUCAAUUUUCAGUAGCCCAACGCGAUUGUGACACGUCGCGCUGAAGUUCCAGGUCCUAACCAGUGGGACAACACAAUGGCUUCACAUCGUGGUGACUCCCAGAUUCCCAUUUGUCAAUUUCCAGUAAGCCACCAUGAUAG
rnacentral:lncRNA from 1 species